ensembl:lncRNA
GGCCUAUGCAGAAAAUACUUUGAAAUCACAGAAAUGCACAUCAGGAAAUGAUCAAAAUGAAAUAUGUGCAUCUUGGAAUGCCUUUAAACACAGUUUAAGGAGGAGUGUGUGCUUUUACUCAAACAUCUGUUAAAAAUUUACCCAUUAUUUUCUUGAAGAAAUUCAAGGUCUACAAAACAAAUCAUUAUUCAUGAACCCAUUUGAUUAAACGGUUUUUAUAAGGAGAAGCAUUAUCCGAUCUCUUGACUGACACUGAAAUGCUUUGGACAGUGCAUAACAGAAGUUAUUUUAAUGUGAGACUGGAGACAGAAAUGUGAGACUGGAAGGCCGAAGUUCUUUUGAUAACAUUUCAUUCAGCAAUAUGACACAUAUGUCCAAUUAGGUAGUAUAAUUUUUCUUGACUACUGAAAACAGUUUGAAUCUGGAUUUGGCAUCAAGCAACACAAAAACCAGAAGCCGAUCUGGAACAAAAGAGAUUUGCUCGAAGGCCAUUAGACAAAACCCGCUUCGAGCGAUCAUGGAUUACGAGAAAACACCAGCUCCAACAUUCAAAUAAUUCACUUUCACAUAGCUCACAUGCUGUCAGACUUUUCUUGGAAUCAGGUUCGAAACUAAUACUUAAGUGUAAAUACAUUAAACAUCAAAACACAGUUUCUCUAGAAAUGAAUAACAUUAUUCAGCUAAUUUCAGUGUUUGAGUUUAGCAUCUCCUAUAUACAGUAGGCCCCUGGCGGAGUCAGUCUGUGCCACGUUUUGUAAAUAAAAUCCGAAUCAAGCACUUUAUUUUGCGGUGUAAGUGUGCACACAAAUAUACCUCGUACACAAAUGUCUUGCGUUUACACAAAGUAUGCAACUAAUAACUGUGUGAAGGCAGCAUGGCAUGCAGCAUGUAAGUGAGGGGAUAAAUGUAGCUCGAUAUUCCAUAAAAUAACGAGCGGAAUACGGAGCCAGUCACAGAAAUUCACACAUUAGCCUACUCUCCUCCCGCUUUCCACCUCCGUUUGCGCAAGAGCGAAAGAAGCGGAAAGAAGUCGGUUUUUUCUCUAAACCUCCCUCUGCGCGUCCGAGUCUCUCUUUCUCUCUCCUGUGGGCGGAGGAGGUGACAAGGGAAACCCGUUAGUUCCUCCUCCUUCGCGUCUAUAUAACGCUGAUGAUGUCUCCCCUCGAGCAGAGCUGCACCUGCCGUGGAUGUAUAGCGCUUUAUUUACACGCCGUUUCUCGAGAUGUCCGCGUCCGCAGAUGUUGAGAGCCAGUCGCCCGCCGCGCGCUCCCGCAGCCGGUGUCUGGACACCUUCCUCACCGUGUCCGUGAUCGCGCUCUUCCUCAUGUUUAUGGUCGCGGGAUCGGGAGCGCUGUACUUCGCCAAACACAUCGAGGACGAGAUAGACGCGCGGACGACGCGACGCUCAGACGGAUCCGCGAACGCGUUGGUCGCACCGUUCGCCAAGACCGGAAACGCGUAUAAGAUGCAGAAUUUUGUUUACCUGAGGGCCACUGAAAGUGAACUCAAAACAGGUGUGAUGGCGUGGGAAACAUUCGCGUAUGGAAAGGGUCAAACCAUUGGCUCUCGCUACAGCUAUGAGGAAAAGCAGAAUGUGCUGAACAUCAAGGAAGGAGGAACCUACUUCUUGUACGUCCAGCUCAAUUUUUCCUGCACUGGACGAUGUCUAUCUGGCCAAUUCACUGUCAGCUUUUACAAUAAACACAAUAGUGAGGAGCUCAGCUGCACCGUCUCGCUGCCUGUGUGGAGCAAAGAAGCGCCUCACAGUCAGACGUGUUGGCGUGUCGUGACCUUUCCGGAAAAUGAAAACCGCCUCAUGGCCAAAUCACAGACUGAAGGCACACUAAACAACUGGAAACUGGAGAUGAAUGACUCUGGCUUUGGGAUGUUUCUGGUGGACGGAUUUGGAGCGCUGCAUCGCACGUGAUCAGCAGAAGCCUGACCAAACUGAUUUACUCAGGACUUGUUUUUUAUGCUUUGAUGAGCAGGACUCCACUAAUGUCCAUAAACUCUAUUGGCUAAUUUGGCAAUGCCUUCAGCUACAAAAAGAUCGUCUCUUUUACGUUUUUGUCACGAUAUUCAAAUGCAUUCUGCCAAAUUAUGCAGAUUUUACUCUACAACUAAAGCUCAGAAAAUGCAACGGCUUCUGGAGACUUUGUCUGGGCCUGAACUGAUAAGCAAUGCUUCUUAAGCACUAUUUAUAACUGAAAUAUAUUUAUAUGUGUAACGUGAAAUAUUUGCAAUAUUUAUAUUCAUAUUUUGUGUAUACUGUACAUAGUGUGUUCAAACAUUUGUAGACAUCACUACGUGUGCGGGGCGUCAGACCGAACCCUUUCGUUCACUGAUUGCAUGUACUGUAUUUAUUCUACAGAUGUAUAGGUGCAUCACAGAAAUAACGAGUCAACUUUGACCAGCACAUCAACACUAGUGCCUUGGUUGGGUCUGUACGCUUCGCGGUAUGUUCAAGAACUCACAAGGCUGCAUGAGUGAAUGUACGUGAACGUCUCUUCACGAGCAUGCACUUUUCUUGUGCAUCUGGUGUGAAGGAAAGCACUGUAUGAAUGCUAACAAACUCAGGAACUCUAGAGAUGAAUGUAAUGACGAUUGUGUGAAAUGCUUUACUUUGUAAACAGAGUAUUUAAUAAAAAUGCAAAAAGUUUGAUUUACAUGACUGUGGGCCGUUUGUUGUGGUGAGAUGAUGCUAGCGCUCUUCGCUGUUACUUGAUGCUUAUGUUGCAGCUCAGACAUUGCCCUUUUAGAGUUAUAACGGAGUUUUAUUUAAGCAUCAGCAGAUGUUUCCUAAAAUAAAAC